rnacentral:ncRNA from 1 species
AGGCGCCCAAUUUGGGCUUAAUGGGGAAUCCAGUUAAAAUCUGGAGCGGACCCGCCGCUGUGAUCCCGAUUUCCACUGUUACGGAAGUCAUAGUCUCUACUCACUGAAUGCCACUUGUUUAUAAACAGGGAAGGCUGGUAGAGAUCGGGAGAGUCAGAAGACCUGCCUGAACU